rnacentral:rRNA from 1 species
AAACUUAAAUGAAUUGACGGGGACCCGCACAAGCAGCGGAGCGUGUGGUUUAAUUCGUUGCUACACGAAGAACCUUACCUGGGUUUGACAUAUAGGUUGUAGGGAACUGAAAAGGGACCGACCUUCGGGAGCCUAUACAGGUGUUGCAUGGCUGUCGUCAGCUCGUGUCGUGAGAUGUUCGGUUAAGUCCGCUAACGAGCGCAACCCUCGUCGUAUGUUAUAUGUGUCAUACGAGACUGCCGGUAAAAAGCCGGAGGAAGGUGAGGAUGAUGUCAAGUCAGCAUGACCUUUAUAUCCAGGGCUACACACACGCUACAAUGGUCUGUACAAUGGGUAGCCAAGCCGCGAGGCGGAGCCAAUCCUGAAAGCAGGCCUCAGUUCAGAUUGCAGUCCGCAACUCGACUGCAUGAAGCCGGAGUUGCUAGUAACCGCAGGUCAGCAAUACUGCGGUGAAUACGUUCCCGGGUCUU